rnacentral:misc_RNA from 1 species
AAUCAUCAACCCUCUUUGCUUUUUGUAAAGGGUGGUUUGGACUUGGGGAUCUGCUGGCCUUAACAGGUUCUGGCUUCCCUUGAAUUCAUUAGCUGGACUUUAUUUGUGGCACAUAUGUGGUGUGAUAAUAUCUUCACUGCAUUGCCCAAGUGCAUGACUAGCUUCUAACUGUCUUCAUUGACAAUUUACUUGACC